UACGGAGGAUGCGAGCGUUGUCCGGAUUUAUUUGGGCGUAAAGCGAGCGCAGGUGGUUUAUUAAGUCUGGUGUAAAAGGCAGUGGCUCAACCAUUGUAUGCAUUGGAAACUGGUAGACUUGAGUGCAGGAGAGGAGAGUGGAAUUCCAUGUGUAGCGGUGAAAUGCGUAGAUAUAUGGAGGAACACCGGUGGCGAAAGCGGCUCUCUGGCCUGUAACUGACACUGAGGCUCGAAAGCGUGGGGAGCAAACAGG
rnacentral:rRNA from 1 species